rnacentral:lncRNA from 1 species
UCUAGUCGGUGAGCCUGGAAAAACCGACCGAGUUCGUUGUGAGCUCGUAAAACAACAAGUUUGGUUGUGAGCUUGGAAAACAACCGGAUGUAAUCCAAGGGGGUUAUAGUGAAUUCCCAAGUGAGACUUGGGGAGUGGACGUAGGAGCAAGGGUUAGCUCCGAACCACUAUAAAACCUUGUGUUUGUGUUGGAUUGUCUCUCUUCUUCUUCCCCUCACAUCACUCACAGCACUUAGCAUUAAUUAAAUAACUUGCAAUAGUUUUUAAUUAGUCAACCACAUCGUUUUAAUUAUUCAAAUUAUUUUAAAACUCAAUUCACCCCCCCUC